ACGGCGAGUGAAGCGGCAACAGCUCAAAUUUGAAAUCUGGCCUCUGGCCCGAGUUGUAAUUUGUAGAGGAUGCUUUUGGUGAGGUGCCUUCCGAGUUCCCUGGAACGGGACGCCAUANAGGGUGAGAGCCCCGUCUGGUUGGACGCCGAUCCUCUGUAAAGCUCCUUCGACGAGUCGAGUAGUUUGGGAAUGCUGCUCUAAAUGGGAGGUAUAUGUCUUCUAAAGCUAAAUACCGGCCAGAGACCGAUAGCGCACAGUAGAGUGAUCGAAAGAUGAAAAAGCACUUUGAAAAGAGGGUUAAACAGUACGUGAAAUUGUUGAAAGGGAAGCGCUUGUGACCAGACUUGGGCUUGGUUAAUCAUCCAGCGUUCUUCGCUGGUGCACUUGGCCGGCCCAGGCCAGCAUCGGUUCGGUGCGGGGGAUAAAGGCUUCGGGAAUGUGGCUCCUCCGGGAGUGUUAUAGCCCGUCGUGCAAUACCCUGCGCUGGACCGAGGUU
rnacentral:rRNA from 1 species